UACAGAGGGGGCAAGCGUUGUUCGGAAUUACUGGGCGUAAAGGGCGCGUAGGCGGCCUGCUAAGUCGAACGUGAAAUCCCCGGACUCAACCCGGGAACUGCGUCCGAUACUGGUUGGCUUGAAUCCGGGAGAGGGAUGCGGAAUUCCAGGUGUAGCGGUGAAAUGCGUAGAGAUGUGGAGGAACACCGAUGGAGAAGGCAGCCUCCUGGGCCAACACUGACGCUCAUGCACGAAAGCGUGGGGAGCAAACAGG
rnacentral:rRNA from 1 species